GGGGAUUUAGCUCAGCGGUAGAGCGCUUGCCUAACGAGCGCAAGGCCCUGGGUUCGGUCCCCAGCUCCA
rfam:Rattus norvegicus chromosome 14, whole genome shotgun sequence.